AACCCUUGUCCUUAGUUACCAGCACGUUAUGGUGGGCGCUCUAAGGAGACUGCCGGGUGACAAACCGGAGGAAGGUGGGGAUGACGUCAAGUCAUCAUGGCCCUUACGGCCUGGGCUACACACGUGCUACAAUGGUCGGUACAAAGGGUUGCCAAGCCGCGAGGUGGAGCUAAUCCCAUAAAACCGAUCGUAGUCCGGAUCGCAGUCUGCAACUCGACUGCGUGAAGUCGGAAUCGCUAGUAAUCGUGAAUCAGAAUGUCACGGUGAAUACGUUCCCGGGCCUU
rnacentral:rRNA from 1 species